CCCGCCCCAGCGCAGAGAGGAGAGGGGCUGGAGGGAAGCGAGGGGAGCGCAGACUUACCAAGCGUGGAACACUGAGAGGAGGAAGAAAACCGGCAGGAGCUUAGCGGACAUGGUCCGGACAAGCGCUGGCCAGGUGAGAGCUUAAUAUCCUGAAGAAAACACUCUCUUCCACAACGCUCCGAGAAAGGAGGGGACGAUGAGAGGGAAAAGGAAAAAAAAGCAGUAGAAGAAGUGGAACGAGAGGGAAAUCCCCAGCGGAGAGGCUGCCAAGGCCAGAGAAAUGCGGGAGGAAGCCGGGCCGCCCGCUGCCCUGAGAAAAUGAAGAAGGGAACGGACGGCGAAUGCUCGGGGGUUGCCCGGAUUUCACCAGGAAUUGCUAAGCCGACGGUCGAGACGUGAAGUUUGCGGGAACACCGGGGCUGUGAGGAGCCGGGGCGAGCAGGGGAGCCGCUGCCUCUCAGCGGCGCGAGAAGCUCCCGGUGGAUCCUGGCGGCACGGGGCUCCGGCACCGCGCACGGCCACGCUCCGCAGGCACUUGAAGGCUCCCUGAAGGGUGCUGCUUAUGCAAACGUCAUUUAGGGCUCCCACCCAGGUCGCGGUUCCCACGUCCCGGCUCGCAGCGCCCGCGCGUUAGGAAAGCAAGGACGGGAAGCGCCCGUCAUGCAAGGAGGGGUUUCCCCUGCGUUAGCCAUAGAGAAAAAAGUGUGUAUUCACACACACACUCAAUCGGAAUAAAUGAAAGCUCCGCCCGGCACCUCCGCCGGGGAGCCCAGCAGCGCGAACACGGGGGCGGUGCCGCAGCAUGGGAGAAGGCUGCGGCGGCCCGG